UUCAUCCAUCAGCUUUUAAAUAUAUACUAAAUAGCGUUUAACAAGUGGAUUUUAAAACAGGGUGAACUUUUGAAAAGAGAGUAUUUAUAGAAGUAGCUAUUUAGUUUGCUAGUAAUUUUCAGUAUUCAUUUUGCUAUUGCUGAAUAUACAGAACAGGAUUAUUCACCCACAUUACCCAGCUGCUUCUGUUUGAUAACGCAACAAAGGUUGUGAUGUAAGUUUCUUUCCAUGGAAAUGGCUGUGAUGUCAUGAUUCAUGUCUAUGGGUUAAAGUGGGAUUUAUGAGGAGUUGUUUUUGAAGCAGAAAAUCUCAAAAUGCAACAACCAUACCAAGGACUAGUAAUGAAGUUCUACUUGCUGCACUUCUGUGUGUAUUCAACUAAGAAAUCAAACAGAAUCAGCAUGAGACACUUGGAUCACUUCCCUUUCAGAAGAGGUGAUGAAGGCCCUGCUGUCUUCCCACUGCUCCUGUCCACCUCAGCUAGCUGGCUGGCUCCUUGGUCCGGGAGAUAAGAAGGACUUGGCCAGUUCCCGUGGCUGCAUCCAGCUCAAGGUCUGCCUGCUGAAAUCAUCCCUGUGGGGCAGCAUCUGUGUACUAGGGAUACCCUGAAAACGAUCUCAGAGUCCCAGAAACCACAGCAGAAAGAUGCUGAACAGCCACUGCUUCUUACCUCCAUUGCUACAGAAGCUUCUCCUUACCUGAGAAUACGAUAUGAUUGCAAUCAGCAGAGAUAAAGCUUCAGAUAACCUGGCACUUUUCUUCCUUCAGUGAUUGCUUUUCUCUGGGUGAUGCCUUUUCUUUUGAAGAAACUCAUCACAACAGUAAUUUGUGGGAGAUAGAUAGGACCUAUGCUCUUCACAUCAAAACAACAGGAGCUUUUACCAAACUACUACUGAUUAGUACUAGAAGACUGUAUCACUGCAACACAACAUCAAACUCCCUAUGCUUCAUCUGCAGCCUUCUCUGUCCUCCACGUGGAAUUCAGCUGACUCACCUGCCCAUCUGGAACCCGUGAUCCCUGAAGUUACCACAGGCUCCACAUCAUGACUCCUCCGUAGAAGACUGUUUUAUUGGCUGUGGCUGGAGAUCUUUGAUGCCAUUUACCAUUUGAAUGCUGAAAGGAUCUUCAAAUUGAAUGGAGGCUUAUGGAAUAGCAAAGAAAGCCUUAUCUGUGCAGCAGAUGAUGGGAGGCCUCCCAGCUCUCAGUCCUCUUCCUACUGAAGUGUGGGGAAGUGGUGAGCAACAUCAGUAACUCCUCCCUUGAGCACACACACUUAUGCCCUCUUUAAAGACUGCAGAAACCAGAAAGUCCAGAGAACAAUUAGACACGAGAGUUCUGAGUGCUAAAUGCUAGAAAGGCAU